GUCUCCGGCCAUAUCACCCUAAACAUGCCUGUUGUCGUCUGAUCUCAGAAGCUAAGCAGGGUCGGGCCUGGUUAGUACUGGGAUGGGAGAAGCAACACAGGUGUGGCC
rnacentral:rRNA from 1 species